rnacentral:lncRNA from 1 species
AUGGGUCAUCAACAGCAAAGGAAGAGCAAGGGGAGGCUGAAAACCAUCCAGGGUGCCAGAGAGGCAUCCCUGGGGACAGUGAGGGACACCCAGAGCUGGAAGAAGUCUGUCACCGCAGAGAUGUCUGGAAUUAUCUGUUCAUCCCCUCCUGCACAUCUCCUCCUCCUCCUCCCUGGAUGCUGGAGGAGGCUUUCCCUGCCUGAGAGCAUUGUGUCUUUGUCCCCAUGGAAGGAUGGGAUUUGUCCCCGUGGAAGGAUGGGAUUUGUCCCCGUGGAAGGGUGGGAUUUGUCCCCAUGGAAGGGUGGGAUUUGUCCCCAUGGAAGGAUGGGCCUUGUCCCCAUGCAGGGAUGGACCUUGCCCUUGUGGAAGGGAUGGGCCUUGUCCCCAUGUAGGGAUGGGCCUUGUCCCCGUGGAAGGAUGGGAUUUGUCCCCAUGGAAGGAUGAGCUUUGUCCCCAUGUAGGGAUGGGAUUUGUCCCCAUGUAGGGAUGGGCUUUGCCCCCAUGGAAAGGAUGAGCCUUGUCCCCAUGUAGGGAUGGGCCUUGUCCCCAUGUAGGGGUGGGCUUUGCCCCCAUGUAGGGAUGGGAUUUGUCCCCAUGUAGGGAUGGGAUUUGUCCCCAUGUAGGGGUGGGCUUUGCCCCCAUGUAGGGAUGGGAUUUAUGUAGGGAUGGGAUUUGUCCCCAUGUAGGGGUGGGCUUUGCCCCCAUGUAGGGAUGGGAUUUGUCCCCAUGUAGGGAUGGGAUUUGUCCCCAUGUGGGGAUGGGAUUUGUCCCCAUGUAGGGAUGAGCUUUCUCCCCCCAGCUGUGACUCACCCGCCCCAGUCCAAGAGUCAGAAUGCAAACGUUGGUGCCCCAGCUGAGCCUUGGUGUCUCCAGGCUGUUUUGGAACACCCCUGUGUCACAGUGCUGCCCUACCCAGGCAGCUGAGGGGCUGUCACAGCUCCUCCUGGCAUCAGCAGGACACAGGGACACUGGGAUGGAGCAGUGCAUGUGCCAGGGAUCAGCUUUGCUCAUGCCACCAGAGAACCUGCUGGAGAACCCUGCCCAUGGCUGUCCAAAUCCUGGGCCUCCCCUCAAACCCCUGGCUCCAGCCCCUUGGUUUCCUGCAGGGUUGAUGUGUGUGGCCACACCUUUGUCCUGCUCCCCUUUGGGCUUACCUAAAAGCAGAGGCCAGAUAAAAUUAAUGGAAUAAAAAGCUGGGUAUAUUUAUUGAAGGGCUUUCA